rnacentral:lncRNA from 10 species
CAUCUGGUAGAAGGUGGAUCGCUGCUGGCACUUCUAGAUAUCUGUUGAGGCCUGGAAGGGGCAAAACAAUUCAGGAAGCAGUUGAAGAUAAAGGGGUUUACCAUGGAAGAGAAGAUCCAGGUGCCUUCAUGGAAAUGCUUGUGGUUGAAAAGAGAUGAAGAUGAGGGUCCCUGGAAAGAGGAAGAACCAGCCAGGAAAAUUAUACCAUUAGCAAGACUGGCAUCAGCAAGUAGUUCGCAGUGUUGGUUGUUCUUGGUUUCGCAGGAUUUUAUAGGAGUUCUGAACACUGGGAAGUCCAAGAGCAAGGCAACAACAGAUUCAACAUCUGAUGGACCUUCUCCUAAAAGUCUUAUCUUCUAAGUCUCCUAAGUCUUGGACUUUUCAAGGCCAAAGAUUUAAAGGCCAAGUGGACCAUACGGGAGAUCUAGUUUCCCAUCCAGACAGCCAAGCUCAUGCAUCCCUGGAUUUGGAUGGAUGGUUUCCCAUGGGGCCUUGGACAGAUUGGACCCAGCACUGGCACAGGGUUGACUUGGAGGAAUAAGCUCCUGGAAACCUCAAUUAGCGUUUGGGGUAUGAACAUUAAACAAUACUGAAUCUGGAAACAAUACAUCACACAGCGGGUCCAAGGAAAUAAGCAGAAGGCUGGCAGCAGGCCAGGGCCAGGGGCCAAAUCGCUCCUCAAAGACAAUUCUUCAUGGAGAAAUGACAGCAGGUUUGAGGACAGCAGAAUUUCGCUCUUGUUGCCCAGGGCUGGAGUGCAAUGGUGCAAUCUCGGCUCACCACAACCACUGCCUCCUGGGUUCAAGCGAUUCUCCUGCCUCAGCCUCCUGAGUAGCUGGGAUUACAGGAAGUACAAAAACAUCCUUGCCGUUUGCUGGAAUGAUGUACUGCUGAAGGCAAUGGACACUGGGGUUGUUUGUCCCUAAUCACAAGUGAGCAAUACCAGAUCUAUUAUCUCAGGUUCAGAGAAGUGAGGUGUCUGACCUUCAGACAGGAUUGAAUGCAGAGUAAAAUAAUUCCAAAUAUGGUCUGGGCAUUGCAUGUAAUACAGAGUAAAAGUUAUUGUAAGACACUUUCGCCAGUUUCUGUCACUUGGUUCCUCAAAUGUUUAGUUCAUUCUAAUUACAUAAUCAGCCUUCUGAUUCAAUGAAGACUGAUGGGAUUGCUGACUUGCCACCCUGGAGUUCAGUUGGCAGCAAGUGAGGGAAAAGGUGAACUCUGUAAACAAGGUUUAGAAGCCCUUUUCUUAACUCUUUAUAAAACAGAGAAGAUGAGGAAGGAGAAAGGCACUGUCAUUAAGCUCUUAGCCAGGGAAUUACACAUACACACACGUGUGUGUGUGUGUAUUUCAACUCAAUGUACAAGGACUUCUCAGCCCAUAGCUACUUUGAACACAUUGUUUAUCCCCCAUAGCAUGAAGGACUAAAGGAACCAGAGAUUUCAUAAUCUCUGGCCUGUAACGUUUUUGCUGAAAUAUCUGCUGUUAUUCUAAUGGGGUUUCCUUUAAAGGUGACUAGUCACUCUUCUUUUGCUAAUUAAUUUUUUUUUUCACUUUGACUUUAGACAUUCUGAAUAUAAUAUGCUAUGAUGAAGCACUUUAUGCAAUGUAUAUUCCUGAGGAUUGCUGGGCCUCCUGUAACUAGAUGUCUGACUCUCUUGCUAGAUGUGGAAAGUUUUCAUCAAUUAUUUUCUUAAACAGGUUUUCUAAGCUUUUAAAUAAUCUUUCUUUCCCAUCAGGAAUACCAAUAAUUUCUAAUUUCAGUCACUUUAUGUAGUCCCAGACAUCUCAAAGGCUUUGUGCACUCCCUUUUAUACUUUUUUGUUGUCGUUAUCUUUGUCUUACUGGAUUAUUUCAAAAGACUUAUCUUCAAGUUCUGAGAUUCUUUCUUCUGCUUGAUCUAUUCUGUUAUUGAAGCUUUCAAAUACAUUUUGCAUUUCCUUCAAUAGUUUUUUUAGGUUUAGAUUUUCUGCUUUUGCUUUAUAAGAUACCCAUCUCCUUGAUACAUUUCUCAUUAAUAUCCUGAGUUAAUUUUCUAAUUUCUUGAAGUUGGCCCAAGGGUGGAAUGCAGCCCCGUGUUAAACUCUCAAAACUGUGCCUUGGGCCUGUGACCAGACAGAGCAGAUUUCUUCUCAAGUAAGUAGCAUAGAAAAGAGAGAUCCAAAUAAACACAAUCAUAAAUGAAAAAGGAGACAUUAUAGCUGAUAACACAGAGGCACAAAGAUCAUCAGAGACUAUUAUAAAUAACUAUAUGAUCACAAACC